rnacentral:tRNA from 1 species
CGCGGGAUGGAGCAGUUGGUAGCUCGUCGGACUCAUAACCCGAAGGUCACAGGUUCAAGUCCUGUUUCUGCAACCA